UACGUAGGGUGCGAGCGUUGUCCGGAAUUAUUGGGCGUAAAGAGCUCGUAGGCGGUGUGUCACGUCGGCCGUGAAAACCUGCAGCUUAACUGUGGGCGUGCGGUCGAUACGGGCAUCACUGGAGUUCGGCAGGGGAGACUGGAAUUCCUGGUGUAGCGGUGAAAUGCGCAGAUAUCAGGAGGAACACCGGUGGCGAAGGCGGGUCUCUGGGCCGGCACUGACGCUGAGGAGCGAAAGCGUGGGUAGCAAACAGG
rnacentral:rRNA from 1 species